AACCCCCCAGUGACUCUGGUUCCCAAGGUCUCCUAGCCUUCCCGCAGGCAGGGAGGAUGCAUCUGCUAAAGCCAUCAGCUGCCGGCUGUACACAUCAGACCUAUAAAAAGCAGCUCAGCCUGGGACCCAGCUCACCAGCUUGCAGAGCUGGGGUAGAUCCCAUCCCACCAUCCCUGAGACCCUGGGUCCCCAUGCACAGCCCUGAGACUCACCAGCAGCCCCAAAAUCCGUGCAGAGAAUGAAUCCCAAUGCCUCUGAAGCUAAGCUGAGGCAGUGCUGAUCACAGGACGUAUAUGGGCAAAGCAGACCCGGAUCUGGGAGAGCAUAAACUUGGUAUUUAUCUCCAUAGAGUGACAUCAAGGCAUUUCUGCACAGCAUGCUGCUUCCCGGACUGCUCUGUUUAUACUGCAUGGAAUAAACAUACCCCGAGGAGCUUGACCCCAUGUGUGCCACAUCCCGAGAUGAUGCUCUGACCGCUUGCCAAGCAGGAAAGCUCUGCCCUUUCCGCCAUCCUCAGGGGACUUUGAUGUGCAUCAACACUGCCCAUGCCACUGGGCCUGGUGGAGGGACUAUGGGAGCUUUGCUGGGUGCUCUGAGCAACGCGGUUGGGUGCUGGUGGCCUCCCAAACUGAAAAGGUCCUUGCAGACCCCUGUGCUUCCCACCUCACAUGCGCCAAAGCAGCUUGUGCUCCCAAGCAGGACUUUGCCCAUAGACAUGGACAUAUCAGACCAGACUUGCCAUUAACGAAGCACUACCGAGAUGUCCAGUUAAGCAGCUAUUUAUGUGUCUGCAACAUAGGACCCUUAGAAUGGUAAAUGCUCUUGCCAAAUACAUUUAAAGAAGCUACGUGACAACUCUUGAUACACUAGCAAUCAAAAUGAUGUCUGAUGAUAGGACCUGAAAUAUGGGCACUGAAUAAAAGAUAGAUUUAUGAAACACCUACAGGCUCUAUGUCUUUUCAUAUGGCUGUUUCGUAAGGUCCUUUUUUGGUAUACUGCUGUAAGUGGGGCAUCAACACUUGUCUUGGAGCAUUAAUAGUAAAUAAUAAUAAUAAUAGGAUAGGAAACAUAAAGCAAAGUUUUCCUGUAGGCUUCCAUUAAAAAGUCUACAUGGAAGUAGAAACUCUACCCUUAAAACCCCAAGAACAUCUCCAGAAUUGUAUACUAUUCAAUAUAGGUCACAUUUGGAGCCUAAAUCAUUUGGCAGCAUCAUCUCAUAUCACAGCUGUGGAAAAUAUAAUUGGGAUAAAAUGGAAUUCAAAUCCUUCCCGCUGGCAAGCUCAUCAACUAAGCCAAUGGAUAAAUGGGCAUGGAAUCCAUGAGAGCAAACAGCUCCCUAGAACCCAAGAUUGGCUUUUUAAAGAGAAAUAGGGUGUUUUUUCCCAAUCUUUCCUUGUAGAAACAGCUGUAGGAUGUCAUCGUCCCACUGAGUCAGCGCAGGAUGGAGCAGGAAGGAGCCAGCCUCCGUAGCUUAGUGGGUUGUGAACUUCAAAGCUGAAUUUAGCGCGUCGAAUGUUGCUGCUGGUAGUGCUGGGGAGCUUUCAUCUGCGUCUGACAAGCCAAGUAGCUCACAGUGUGUGAGUUCCGUGGGCAUCUUGCUGCGUUGCAGGGAAUCUGCUGCUCAAACAGAUGGGUGGCAGAGCAGCAUCGUUUCCACAAUUGGCAGAGAGUGGGUACAACCCCGAGCAACUUCUCUCCUUGUUUCCUGCAGUGAGGGAAUCCCCACAGCAGGGAGACGGAGGGAACCCGAGCUCCAUUUCAGCUGGGGGUGCUCCUAAUACAUUCCCAGGGAUGCUGUUUUGGAGGAAGGACGGACUCAUCACAGUGCUGCUGCAUGGCAGCGGAAGCACGCUCCACUCUUAACAACUGCAAAGCCCCAGGACAAACUGGAAGGCUGAAACAACCACUCGGUUCUGGGAUUGCCAAACCUAUCCAGGACUUCAGAGCCUCUUUGCCAAGUGCAAAGGAUCACCUUGUGCUCUGUUCUGAACCCCUGAGCUGUCCCUGUCCCCUUUUACACCCAUGCAGGGUGCAUCUGACCUUGGGAAGGACAAGGGGUAACGGCCCAGCUUAAAUCCUAAAACAGGACUUAAGCAAGACUUCAGUAAUGCCUGGAAUGAGUUUUCCUGCUGCGAACCGAGGAGUGAAGCUGUGUUGCCAGAGCCAGCACUAUAAAUGGGCAUUACUUACUGAUCAGAUCUGGCUAAAAGCAUUUCACUGCAGAGAAGGUGGUGCUCAGCCUCAUGAAAGGAGCAUGAAUGGAGUCACCUUCAAAACCAUCCAUUGCCAUGGGGGCAAUACCACCGCAGGAGUUUGUAAAGGGGAAGGGACUGAUGUGCGUGACUCUGUUUUGGGUGCUUUUGGUUCUUGCAUUGCAGCCAGCUGCCUCCCCAGCACAGUUCCCUUUUGCUCAUUGGACUUCCUACUUCCCUGCAUUACGCACACAACAGAGGAACCUUUGUGUGGUGGCAAUCUGUUUUUUUCCAAGAGGGAGGUUUAUAUUCACUGCACAAACUUAUUGCUUAUGAAAUGUUACAAACCAGGGCUAGAGAGCAGCCGAAAAUGUCAGUUUGCCGCUGAGUUUGGUGGGAGGCUGAUGGGGGGAGGACCAGGGGGUCUGCUGAGAGCAGCAAUCUCAGCUGUGCGAAUGAUUCAGCACAUAGAUGCUUCAGGAUCAGGAGGUAAAAGAGUUGGGGAGGGCUUGUUACUGGAACUCUUUUGCAUGACGGGCACUAAAGGAACCAAUCCUUGCUGGUUUGGAUGGAGUGAAGCAAACAGGGAUGCUUACACCCUUGCUCUGUCUGGUCUGCAGUUUCCAGCCCAGCCCCUGACCCGAGCUAUGCUCCCAACGCAUUCCUCUGGGAAUCUGGUUCACCAGCCCCUAUGUCCUACCUACAUCCCAUCACCAGUGACAUCAGAGCUCUGAUUUGUCAGAACAACACAAAUAUGAGCUACCAGCCUCCCCAAGGGCCUGACCUGCUCCUGGGACAGCUUCUCCUCUGCCUUACUACUCUGUGCAUUGUAACCCAUGCACUCCAAGGGUAAUUUCAGUGGAGAUCAUUGUGUAAAACGGCCUUGUGCUGAGCAGAAAUGUGGCAACAGAAAGGAUCUGACUCUGCAGGAAGCACAGAUUGCUGGUGCUGGUCACAGAUAUCCCUUGGGAUCGUGAGCCAACCUCCAGUGACGUUACGAAGAGGCUGUGUGCUCCCAGGGAAGGCAGGAUCAGCCCGUUGGACUCAUCCUGACCUCCAGCAGAACCAAACCUCCAUACGGAAAACCUCUGCAAAGCUCCAGGCUUCCUUGCAUGUCUCCAAUUCCUUCCUUACAGCAGAAUAGUUCAAGUCUGAGGCUGCCUUGCCUAUCACCCCAUCGAUACAUACAUCUCUCUGACAAGGCUGACUUCAACAAAAGCCUGACAGGCAUAAUUAUGAGAAU